CACCGUAAGACAUUGCGGCAGCAGUGCCUUACCUUGCCUUGCCGACGUCCGUCGCGGUGCCUCUGCGGCCGUCGCCGUUCCGAGCUCGACACGAGUUUCUCUUCGUCGUUACACGGCUUCCCCGUUUCCUUCCACGUUUUCCCCUCGUUCUUCAUGUUCUCGUUUCUUGCGGCGCCGGGAUCGGGUACGACGAUCUCAUCCGCCAGACAACAACGGCUCCCCGAGCGAGAUCGUCGACAGACACGUCGGCCAGCUGCAGGGGAUUGGUGAAACCAGGAAAUCGUGCGACGCCGAUUUCUCGACUCGCGAUUCAGGUACAAUUUCGUUUCUUCUGUCCUCUUUCUUUCUCUCUGUAUCUCUCUCUCUCUCUCUCUCUUUCUUUCUCUCGCUCUCUCUCUCGCUCACUCACUCUCUCUGUCCGCGACGGUGGUUCCGUUUCGCCCGACUUUCUUCGAACCGCGAACGAGGAGAAAGAGAUCGCGCGGCGGACCGUUCCUCUUUCCGUUCGCGCCAACAUCCGGCUUCCAGCCGUGUAAAAAACGGAUUCCUGGUGUCGAGGCCCGUCCCCAGGCUCGGGGAGAAGCGAAUUCGAGGAGAUCAGCAGCGGCAACAGCAGCAGCCGAACGUGCACCAAGGCAGUCUCGAAGAGGAACACGAAGAAGGUUCUCCUCCUUCCCCACCUCUACCUCCGCCACUACCUACCGCUACCUCGAUCUCCUCCUUCCUCCACCUCCACCACGCGUACAGUCGCACGGUCGCCGGCGAGCAAUACGGUUUAUGGCCGCGUGACACUGUCCCGGACAACAUCGGCAUCCGCAAACAGCUGGAUCCACGUUGGAUCGGGUUGGAUCGCAGCUAGGAUCACCGUUCCCGGAUUCACCGUCACCGGGCUAGCACGACGCAACCGAGCCGCGCGGCGUUGACUCGGCCGCCGCGUACAACCGCGACACAGAGAGCUGAUCCAAAAAGAGCUGAUCCGGUCGGUCGCGAUCGUCGUCGGUGAACGUAUAUCUCUCCUCUGUACUCCGGUAGAGAACUCCCGUGGUUGAACCGACGAGCUUUGUCGCGCUGGUCCAGUGGUUGUUCGAACGUAUAUCGGUCGCCGCGGACCGCUAUGCGGAUUCUGUCGUCGACGUCGGGACGGAGCAGGGACUGAAAAGAAAAAAGGGGACCGGCGAGGAGAUCGGCGACGACGUGGAUCGGCGUGGAAGCUAACGGAACAGGAGGCGCGUCCGGUGUCGAUCGCGAGUGAGAGUGUUUUUCCCGUGUAAGAAGCGUCCGCGGCCAGGACCGUGGUCCUCGCAGGAACAUCAACAUCUGGUAGCGUGUUUCCGGGCGCGCGAGCCAGCGCGUGGACGUCCCGUUCUCCUUGCUUGUUGUGCGUGGCUUGUUGGGCUGGCUGGCUUCCUGCGCCGCUCUUCCUUCCGUGUGACUCGAACGUUCGGCAACCGGGCCGGGUUUCCUCUUCUGUCGGCUCCCGCGCGACUCGCCGUGCCCGCCGCCUCUCCGUGCUAUUCCGUCCUCUCCUGGCCGUCCAACCAGGCCGUCACGCGUGCACGCGCGCACCCACAGGCGCAAACACGAGGGGGCCACAGGCACACGCACGUAAAGCACGCGUGAUAUACCGAAUCGCGCGGACGGACCCUCGGUGCUUCUUCGGUUGUUGUUUUUUUCUGUGACACUGUGACAACGCCGACCCUCCUGACCAACCGAACCGCUCUCGGAGGAGGAGGAGUCGAGGAGAGCCGCCGCGAGUUCGGUAUGCCGUGGAUUAGACCGUCUUCGAGCGUUUUGUGAACGAUCCCCGAUCCGGGAUCUCGGUAGCCGGUUUACCAGUCGAGGGAGACGAGUCAGCUGUCGACCAAGGAUUACUACUCCUGCCAGCCAUCCGGCGGACGUCCAUCUUCUAUUCGCAGAGGUGGAAGCUCCUCGUGCUCUUAAAUGGAAGUUCAUAUUUCAUCGACACCUGACAACAGCUUAAGAUGAACUGAAAGAAGCGCGAUUUACGGUGAUUCAAGUUUUUGAUUUCGCGACGACCAGCGAGAAUUGAUGAAGUAUGCACGAGCCCCGUUCAGUUUGACCCGUUCGAGUUGUUCCCAGAGUUCAAGGAUGCGGUGGUCGAGGAGGCACCAGAGCCUCUGCUGAAACGUUUGCCCGACACCGCGCGACCAAUCCAUCGAAGCAAGGCCUGGCAAGGCCACCGGUGGCCCGACCCUGAGAAAGAAGCAACCACGAGA